rnacentral:sRNA from 1 species
GUUUGCACUUGUCGGGGAAGGGUGAGAACCUUCGAUUAAGGUUCGACUCGAGCGAAAGCGAGAGAACGUUGCCAACGGCAACGGCCCGAAGGGUGAGGAGCGAAGCGACGAAUAAUCCUUCCCCCACCAUUC